rnacentral:rRNA from 1 species
CAGUAGCCGCGGUAAUACGAAGGGGGCUAGCGUUGUUCGGAAUUACUGGGCGUAAAGCGCACGUAGGCGGAUAUUUAAGUCAGGGGUGAAAUCCCGCAGCUCAACUGCGGAACUGCCUUUGAUACUGGGCAUCUUGAGUAUGGAAGAGGUUAGUGGAAUUGCGAGUGUAGAGGUGAAAUUCGUAGAUAUUCGCAGGAACACCAGUGGCGAAGGCGGCUAACUGGUCCAUAACUGACGCUGAGGUGCGAAAGCGUGGGGAGCAAACAGGAUUAGAUACCCCCGUAGUCCCUGUCUCUUAUAA